rnacentral:rRNA from 1 species
GUGUCAGCCGCCGCGGUAAUACGUAGGGGGCGAGCGUUAUCCGGAAUUAUUGGGCGUAAAGGGCACGCAGGCGGUCCUGCACGUGGAUGGUGACAGCUCCUGGCUUAACUGGGAGAGUGCCUUCCAAACGACAAGACUUGAGAGCGAGAGAGGGAUACGGAACUCCAGGUGGAGCAGUGAAAUGCGUAGAGAUCUGGAAGAACACCAAAGGCGAAGGCAGUAUCCUGGCUCGUCUCUGACGCUCAGGUGCGAAAGCUAGGGGAGCAAACAGGAUUAGAUACCCUGGUAGUCC